GACGAACGCUGGCGGCGUGCCUAAUACAUGCAAGUUGAGCGCUGAAGGUUGGUACUUGUACCGACUGGAUGAGCAGCGAACGGGUGAGUAACGCGUGGGGAAUCUGCCUUUGAGCGGGGGACAACAUUUGGAAACGGAUGCUAAUACCGCAUAAAAACUUUAAACACAAGUUUUAAGUUUGAAAGAUGCAAUUGCAUCACUCAAAGAUGAUCCCGCGUUGUAUUAGCUAGUUGGUGAGGUAAAGGCUCACCAAGGCGAUGAUACAUAGCCGACCUGAGAGGGUGAUCGGCCACAUUGGGACUGAGACACGGCCCAAACUCCUACGGGAGGCAGCAGUAGGGAAUCUUCGGCAAUGGACGAAAGUCUGACCGAGCAACGCCGCGUGAGUGAAGAAGGUUUUCGGAUCGUAAAACUCUGUUGGUAGAGAAGAACGUUGGUGAGAGUGGAAAGCUCAUCAAGUGACGGUAACUACCCAGAAAGGGACGGCUAACUACGUG
rnacentral:rRNA from 1 species